rnacentral:rRNA from 1 species
CAGCAGCCGCGGGAAUACGUAGGUCCCGAGCGUUGUCCGGAUUUAUUGGGCGUAAAGCGAGCGCAGGCGGUUAGAUAAGUCUGAAGUUAAAGGCUGUGGCUUAACCAUAGUACGCUUUGGAAACUGUUUAACUUGAGUGCAGAAGGGGAGAGUGGAAUUCCAUGUGUAGCGGUGAAAUGCGUAGAUAUAUGGAGGAACACCGGUGGCGAAAGCGACUCUCUGGUCUGUAACUGACGCUGAGGAGCGAAAGCGUGGGGAGCGAACAGGAUUAGAUACCCGAGUAGUCCCUGUCUCUUAUACA